rnacentral:lncRNA from 10 species
GACUUCCGGGUCGCGGUGCUUGAAGGGAGUGUUCCGUCGUUUCCGUUGCCGGCUGUUUGCAGUGGGGAAACCGAGGCAGCUCCUGCUCCCCCUAGUUCUUCCGCUCCUGUGAGGAAAAAAAAAUGUUUAUUUCUUUGUGGGAGUUCUUCUAUGGGCACUUUUUUCGAUUUUGGAUGAAAUGGCUAUUACGACAGAUGACUGGGAAGUGUGAAUUGCAGCGAAUAUUUGAUACCUAUGUAGGUGCACAAAGGACACACAGGAUAGAAAAUUCCUUGACAUACUCCAAGAAUAAGGUAGGAUAACAUAAAGGUGGUAACUCUAGAAAACUUAACGUGGACAUAUUUUUUCUUAAAAAAAAAAAAGUGCCCUGCUAGAAGAGUGUUUUCUAUAGUGAGCAUUGAGUGAAAUUUUCCCCGUUUAGAGGUAAUAUUCUGUUUUCAAACAUUUCUCUAUAUAUGUGUUUUUCGUGUGUAUUUCAAAGAAAAUACUUGAAUAAUUUGUCCUGUCCUGAGGUUUUAUUUGUUUAUUUUGCUUUAAGAGUUGAUAGCUUUUAGGAAAGCAGGGCCUUAGGAGGAAAGUCGUCUUUUAGACUGUGUCCUCAGGAUAGAUUAUAUGAGAGAAAAGCAACUUAGGAUAGAGAAAACCCUGGGUUGUGUACCUUUUGAGCUAAAAUAAGUCAUAAUUCAUGCUAUGUAUUAGUCAGCUUUUGCUGUGUAACAAACUAUAAUAAAAUCUCAGGGGCAUAAAACGA